AAAGGGGACCUUAACUUCUUACGCAUUCCCCACUGUGGCACGAUUGGGACUUCUCUUAGCACGCGGCGCCCUGAGCAAUUCAACUCCCGAAUGACAGCGCCACUGGAAGCGAUGACCUUAGUCUCAGUUGGCUCAUGAGAGAGCCUAGCACCCCAAACCUGCCUAUAUACGCGAUGGCUCCGCGCUCCGCGCUCUUCUGGGGUGGUCUUACCGGGAACAUACACUUCUGGUUGAAGAGCCUUUGGCAGUGUCAUGCCAUUGUCAAGACAUUGACAUCAUCAUUCGAUCCCUCGAUUGUUGCCUCUUCUUUUCAAGCAGGACGGGCCAGUAAGCAGCCGUCU
rnacentral:sRNA from 2 species